UAACAUGGAAUCUCUACACACCCCAUGAGCUCGAUCCAAUCCACGCACACGAGUUGCCUGAGUAGCGACAGGUAUACCGAUGUGCAAUACGUAUCCGGCCACGGCACGGAACGAACGGGAACUGUGGUGCAGACAUACAAAGAGUUAAGCCUACUAGUCAUUAACUCUAAGGACGGGGCCAUGGGGCGGUACGCAAAGGAUACGGAUGAGCGAGUAUGCAGGCCCAAUACUCAAUAGCUCGAUCCGAUCCAAGCACAUGAGUUGACUGCGGCGCCAGGUUAACCAAUGUGCUAGAUUCUAUUUGGCCAGUAGAAUCUUGUGUCUUACGCGAUUUGAUACCAAGACACCAGAACGAAAGUUAGUUGAAGAGUGAUUAAACUCUUAUGAAGAAUGGUUGUGCAAUCACAACUUAUGACUUUAACCUAUAAAGUGGAUAUGGACUAUCAAUUAUAACAUGGGGCACACACCAUGUUCUCGAUCCAAUCCACGCACACGAGUUGCCUGAGUAGCGACAGGUAUACCGAUGUGCAAUACGUAUCCGGCUACGGCACGGAACGAACAGGAACUGUGGUGCAGACAUACAAGGGCCAUGGGGCGGUA